GUGGAAAAAAAUAAAGGGAAGAACGGGGGAGAUAUGGUAGGCGGUGGACAUGGCGGACGCGGCGGAGUUGGUGGUCGUGGAAGCGGCGGUGGUAAUAGAGCGGAGGCGGAUCGAUGGCUUGUUACAUCGGAGAAGCUUCUAGCGUCUAGUGACCUUCAGGGAGCGAAGACAUUUGCGAUCCGCGCAUGCGAAUCCGACCCGACCCGAGCAGAAGCUGCGGACUACAUCCUCGCAAUCUGCGACAUUCUUUUAGCCGGAGAGACUCGUUUAGGCGACUCUAACUUGCCGGACUGGUACGCCGUGCUCCGACUCGGCCGUUUAGCUCAAAACCCCGAACACGUCGCGACUCAGUACCGUAGACUCGCUCUUCUCCUCAAUCCGUCGGUUAAUCGCCUCCCGUUCGCCGAUCAAGCGUUUAAGCUUGUCUCUGAUGCUUGGCACGUGCUCUCUGAUCCGUCGAGGAAGUCGUUUUACGAUCGAGAGCUGCAGCUGAGUCAACUCGGCCAAUCUAGUUCUCAGCCACAAAGCCAAGCGCACCAGCAACAAUUCCAGUGGAAAGCUAGCAAAUGCACCAACGUAGCACAAGAGCCGCCUUCUGUUGCCAAUUCCACCGCCGGAUAUCCGCCGCAGUCCCAGGCCGACCCUCUGGCGACGAGCUUCUGGACUGCUUGUCCAUAUUGCUUUGUACUAUUUGAGUACCCUAAGGCUUACGAAGAAUGCAUUUUGAAGUGUCAAAGCUGUAGGAGAGCGUUUCAAGCUGUGACGAUACAAAAACCUCCCGUGGAAGGGAAAGGCGAAGACGUUUACUUCUGCUCAUGGGCUGUAUUCCCGCUAGGGUUUUCCGGUGAAGUUCGAACCCCACCGAGUUGGUCACCUAUCUCACCUCUCUUUGCAUGCCCCCUGCAAAAGGUGGAUGAUGAACCAGCCACGAAGAAGAGAAAGGAACCGGCUCCUCCAAGGAUCUUCUAUGACGAUGAUGACAUAUAUGUUGCGAUUUCAGAGGAGGAGUAUGAAGAAAGCGAGGCUGAUGAUGAUUGGCAAGAUGAGGUACAAAUGAAUAAGAAGGCGAAUGUUGGGAAAGGGAAGGAAACACUUGUGAGAAGUAACAAGAAACAUGGAACUGAGAAAGCUGGGAAGGGAAUCCAAAAUGUGGAAAGUAUCAGUGAUGGUAGCAAUCCCGCGGUUUCAGUUGCUUCAUAUGCUACGGCCGCUGGUUCCUCCUCUGGUUAUAUGUCUAAGCCAGUGAGUACUAGAAGAAGAACGGGAACUGGAGUUAAGAAUUUGGGGAGGUUGGAUUUGAAUGUGGAGUUCAGUAAUGAAGUGGAAGAGCCUGCUGUGGCAGGCAGGAGAAAUGAAGGCAACGGGCUCGGAAGUAACAGGGAGGUGGAUAAUAUCGAAGGGAUUGGCUUCUUUGAGGGCCUUGAUGAAUUCUUGAGUAGUUUGCCGAUACUUUCUGUUGUUGGAGAUGAUAAGAUCAAGGCUACUUAGUGAAGAGUAAUGGUCAACGGUCAACGCAAACAUGGGGAUCUCCGUCUUUGUUGGAGAAGCUGAGACCCAUAUGCUGUUACUUGUUGGAUCUGACAGAUUUCUCAUCAAUGGCGAUCGUUUCUUCUAUCAUGUCUA